rnacentral:rRNA from 1 species
GAUGAACGCUGGCGGCAUGCUUAACACAUGCCAGUCGAACGGGAAGUGGUGUUUCCAGUGGCGAACGGGUGAGUAACGCGUAAGAACCUGCCCUUGGGAGGGGAACAACAACUGGCAACGGUUGCUAAUACCCCGUAGGCUGAGGAGCAAAAGGAGAAAUCCGCCCAAGGAGGGGCUCGCGUCUGAUUAGCUAGUUGGUGAGGUAAUAGCUUACCAAGCCGAUGAUCAGUGGCUGGUCCGAGAGGAUGAUCAGCCACACUGGGACUGAGACACGGCCCAGACUCCGACGGGAGGCAGCAGUGAGGAAUUUUCCGCAAUGGGCGAAAGCCUGACGGAGCAAUGCCGCGUGGAGGUGGAAGGCCUACGGGUCGUCAACUUCUUUUCUCGGAGAAGAAACAAUGACGGUAUCUGAGGAAUAAGCAUCGGCUAACUCUGUG